GCAGGCGUGGCGGAACGGCAGACGCGCUGGUUUCAGGUUCCAGUGUUGAGAGACGUGUGGGUUCAAAUCCCGUCGCCUGCACCA
rnacentral:tRNA from 1 species